GCAGCGCGGAAGCCUCCAAAGACACGCAGCCAGCCCAUGAGGAAUGGACACCUGCCAUCUCUCACAGAGGGGCCCAGGGCCUCCAGGAGCCUUCAGUCACUGCAGAGCACAUGGACAUCCCCCAUCUGUGAAGGAAGAACCAUAUCCUGCCUCCUCUGCUAACUGACACAAAGACAAGGAGGAACAAGAGGGAAGAAGGAAAUUGGAUUAUUCACGUCGAAGCAUUAAUUUCUUGAAUUUGGAGAUGGAAAAAGUGAGGCUUUUGUUCCACUAACAACUCUUGCCUUUAGUUUCUUUUUAACAUUACCCUGAUGGGAAAAGUUUCUGUGUGCUCACAUCUGCACAUAGUACAUGUAGCUUCUUCUCCAUGGAAGCAGUCCGUUCACAAAUGAUGUUCAACCAGUAUUGAGAGAGAGGAGCACCUUCAGCAUUGCUGACUUUUCACACUUCUUAGCAGUUGCCUUCAGAGCUGAUGCAAACUCACUUCUCUGGAUGCUGGAGUUAGAAGAUCCUGUUUUGAGUGAAGAGAGCUCUCCCAUCAUCUCUGGGAGUCACAUUGGAAACGAUGAACUGAAAAGGAGAUCUGGAGCCCCAAGAGGUUUUUUGAUGAUGGCUGUCCUUGGUAAACCCUCUGUCUGGUGGAUCUGCAGCUACUGUAAUUUCCUAUGUCUGUUCCGGAUCAAAGUUCCCUUCCAAAGGUGUUGGUCAGCCAAUAGCAAGAAGAUGAAAUUUCAGAAAGAACAUGACCAAGUCCAACCUGAAGUUUCUCCGCAACACAGCAGAGAGAAACCUUUUUGUUUCCUGUAAUGAAUCAAGAGGACCCAUGUCUGGAUUGCUGCAAAGGACAUUGUGUGCUCUGGUGAUGUGUCUGAGCAAUGUGGUGACUGUAGGCGGACAUCCUCGGUGCUGUGUUGUGGGGAUGAAUAGAUGUCUCGUGCCUGGAAUAAGGAAUGCAGGAGAAGAAAACAGUCAUCUGUAGAGCUCCAUCAAAGGCAGGCAUCGUGCAGAACUGGAUGUCCAGAGGCUUCAUGUCCAGAGAUUUCAUCUGUUGACAGGCAAGUUACUUCCAUGGAAAGCCUGACUUUUUUGGGUCAGAGAUCUGGUUGUUAGAGCUGCAGACUUCCCACAAACGUGCGAGGUCAAGAUGAUCUCUGCUCCGAACAGAGAAAGUUAUUGUGAACGUGCCAAACCCUCUAAAAUUUAGACUGUAAGUUUUUGAGUUGGGAAUCCCAAAUUAAGUGACACAUUUGAGAAUGUUCACAUCGGUCUUUGCCUCAGUUUUUAUGCAUGUAAACCAGAGACAAUGAUUUCACAUUUCCUCAUAGUUGUAUCAUGAAGGUAUAAUCUUAAAUGCAGCAAAAAAUAUAAACUGUUAUGAUGUCCCCAAAAGAAGAAGGGGAGAAGAAAACAAUAGUUUUGUAACCAGUGCAGAGCUGGACAGUGCAUGCAUGAAGCCACAAGCUGGAUAAAGCUAAAAUAUAAUACUGAAAAAUAGCCCAGUUUCAUAAGCCUUGUUUUCUUUAGAUGAGGAAGAAAAUUAGGAAAAAUAAGACAUUGUAAUGCAAUUAAAGACUGUGCUGUGGCACAUAGGCAGAAAGAAGCCAAAUAAAAGUUUGUUGCUUACCUUAAUACUGAUUCCC
rnacentral:lncRNA from 1 species